ensembl:snoRNA small nucleolar RNA U13
AUCCUUUUGUAGUUCAUAAGUGUGAUGAUUGGGUGUUCAUGCGCUUGUGUGACAUGUGCCUCCUUCCAACCUUGUGGUACAUUACCCAUGUGACG